AUCUCCCUUUCUGUAGAGCAUAUGACCUUUACUGAUGCACCUGCAUCUGGCUCAGACUUAGUCACCCAGCCCUGAAAUUAUAUCAUAUCACAGGUCAUUCUCUGAGUCUCUUAAUGUGAGGCCUUGAGAGAAAAAUCAACAUGCCUUCUGUUGGAUGAAGACCAAUCAGCAAGUGCUGCAGUAAUUCUGCUGACGUCAUCCCCAUACUUGCCAUCCUCUUGCAGGGGUGUAGGUUCUAAGGCUGGCCUCCACGGGGUGGUUCCACCCUCUUCUCUUGCUGUGUCUUUAAUGUGAUGUAUCAGAUAUUCCAAAAAAGGAGAUAUAAACAUGACCAUAAAAGACAUGAAAAGAUGUUUAACCCCGUUAGUCAUCAUGGAAAUGCAAAUGAAAACCACCAUACAGACACUAGAGUGGUUUAAAUUUGAAUGACUUCCAACACCAAAUGCCAGACAGGACAUAGAGCAACUGGAUGUCUCAUGCUCACAGGCAGAAGGGAAAACUACUGUGUGUGACAGGAAGAUGGACUUACCCAACCUUCAGCGUUCUCAAUCUCUUGUCUAUUAACAUGUGUUUGAAACAUUAUGCAUUCAAAGCAAACAUCUGGGAGGAAGAUGGGAGAAGCCUUCUUGCCCCUGUUCUACAGAAGUAAUUGAAGUUCAUGACAUUCAAGCUCAUUCAUCAGUAAAUGAAUUUGGGUCAUGCUUUAUGUCUGCUGUAAACGCAGUGAAAAUUUG